GAUAAUAGCUGUUUAUGUUAGCAUUCGUUCGGAGAAGCCACAUCAUGUUUGCCGAGUUGUCGGAAAUCUGAAGCAAGUAAUAAGUGAUGAAUAAUUUGGAGAGGGGCUUGGAGAAUACAUAACAGGAAUGAAUUCUCUGAACCCUAUAAUGGCAUCUGAUUCAGCUGUGGAAAUUGAAAAUCACAGUGAUAAUUCUUCAUCUGGUAGCAGCUUAUUUAAAACUCAGUGUGUCCCUUCCUCACCUAAACCGAGGCAAAGAAACCCUAUCAGAAAAUUUGUUUAUUCACCUGAAAGUGUUCAAGCAAAGGAUUCCUCUAGUGACUCAUCUUUAGAACCAAGACCAUUGACUUUAAAAGCUAUUUUUGAAAGAUUCAAAAAAAAGAAACGUAAAAAGAGGAAAUACAAGCCAACAGGAAGACCAAGGGGAAGACCAAAAGGAAGAAAAAAUACUAGACGCUCCCAAAUAAAUAGGAAACAAGUUAGAGACAAAGGAUCUGGGUUCCCAUUUUUAGAAUCAGAGAAUGAAAGAAAACCACUACCUUGGAGGAAGAUUUUAACCUUUGAGCAAGCAGUGGCAAGAGGAUUUUUCAACUACCUUGAAAAGCUGAAGUAUGAAUACUACCUCAAGGAAUCCUUGAAACAAAUGAAUGUUGGUGAAGAUUUAGAAAAAGAAGAUUUUGACAGUCGUAGAUAUAAAUACUUGGAUGAUGAUGGAUCUCUCUCUCCUAUUGAGUCAGAAGCAGAGGAUGAUCUUGCAACAAAUCUUGAACAUGAUGACGAAUGUGAUAUCAAAUUGGUGGACCAUAAUUAUUUCAUAGUAAGUUCUGAAGUACCAAAGAAGAAGAAUGUGUAUUUAGAACAAGAGGAAUAUACUGAAGAAGCAGCUGUGUCUAAAAGGAGAACAUCAAGGUCCAAAAACAUUGGACAGAGGAUAGAAUGGUCUGAAAAGGAGAUAGGAAUAUGAAUGUUAAGGCUUUUCAUUUGAGAGCACAAAGUCUGGACUUAAAGGUAUUGGAGUAUCCCAAGAAUCUGUAUAGUUCAGGGCGUGCUAGUUUAGGGGUGAAUAUGAUUUGAACUCAUUUACGUUUAGAGGGUGUUUGAAAUUGAGAACCAGGGGUCCAUCUAGUCUGACCCUAAACAUGGCCCUAAAGUAAAAAAAACUGGAUCCCAAAGAUUGCAGGUGGGGAAUUCCUGAAGUAUGUCCAUAUUCAAGUGGAGAUUAAAGAAGCCCAAGGGAAAGAACUCUGGCAAGAUAGGACUGAUGGUGACAGCUGUGGAUUGAACAAAAGCUCCUUUUAAAAGGGCUAUUUUGAAGAAUGUGAUUCUGACUCGGAGGAACGACGGUGCUUGGGAGUGGAAGGAAUCCCAUGUUAAAAUUCUUAAAUAAAAAUUUAUUGACUUUAAAUAA